UCGCCUGUUUUACAAAAACAUCGCCUCUUGACUAUAUAAGAGGUCCAGCCUGCCCAGUGACAAGUUUAACGGCCGCGGUACCCUAACCGUGCAAAGGUAGCAUAAUCACUUGUUCUUUAAAUAAGGACUAGUAUGAACGGCAUCACGAAGACUAUACUGUCUCCCCCCUAUAAUCAGUGAAACUGAUCUCCCCGUGAAGAAGCGGGGAUACACUUAUAAGACGAGAAGACCCCAUGGAGCUUAAAACUUAAGUUUCACCUGCCCCUUACUACAUCAUAAUAAUCCAGCAGGCAUGACUACUAGUUUUCGGUUGGGGUGACCACGGAGUAAAACCCAACCUCCACAAUGAACGGAACUAAACUCCUAACUUAAGAGCUACAACUCAAAAAAUUAAAAUACUAACAUACUUGACCCAAAUAUUGAUCAAUGAACCAAGUUACCCUGGGGAUAACAGCGCAAUCCAUUUUAAGAGCUCCUAUCGACAAAUGGGUUUACGACCUCGAUGUUGGAUCAGGGUGUCCUAGUGGUGCAGCCGCUACUAAAGGUUCGUUUGUUCAACGAUUAAAACCCUACGUGAUCUGAUUCCAGACCGG
rnacentral:rRNA from 3 species